rnacentral:misc_RNA from 1 species
UUGUGGAGGAGGACGCCGAAGGUGGGGCUGAUGACUGGGGUGAAGUCGUAACAAGGUAGCCGUACCGGAAAGUUGCGGCUGGAUCACCUUCUAACAGGAGACAUAAACUGAUUAUGAUGUCUAAAUUUAAUCAUUAGGCCUUAAUCCUGUCACCUUAGGUCGAUCGGUACCUCAGAUUACCAAUUUGGAAAUGAGAGAUCACUUCGAAAUCUGUAAUUUCAGUUCCUAAACUUGUCUAGGUCACACCCAACAAACUUUCUCCUGGGCUAUUAGCUCAGGCGGUUAGAGCGCACCCCUGAUAAGGGUGAGGUCCCUGGUUCAAGUCCAGGAUGGCCCAUUCGUUGUUGGGGGUAUAGCUCAGUUGGUAGAGCGCCUGCUUUGCAAGCAGGAUGUCAGCGGUUCGAGUCCGCUUACCUCCACUGAUCAACUACCUGAUAACUCAUUUUGGAGAUUGUUAUUUGUUUAAUGUGACUUAGAUGUUGUUCAUCUGAAUGAACCUAGCUUCCUGUCGUUCCUUGUUAUUUCAUGGUUGAUAAGACGCUGGGCUCACUGUGAAUUCAAAAGAAUUCCAGUUUGAUUCAGUAGAACCUUGACAACUGCAUAGGAAAGUCUGGAAAAAAUAAAGCAUCUCAUAGAUGCAUUAUUUUUGAUCCAUUCUUAGAAAUCUGAGUAAUCAGAAAUCUAUUAUGGAUUUAAAAUAUAAUGUUAAUUCUUGAGUGAGAGCCGAGACUCUAUAACGUUCUUUUAUUGCUUAAAUAGCAAUAAGAGUUAGAUUUUUGAUUUUUAUUUCUAAUGUAAUUUUUGGAUAAUAUCUAAAUUGAACAGACGAAAAAAAUGAAAAAGAAAAGUGCUAACAACACCAUUGGCGUUAUAGAGAUUUAAUGGUCAAGCUACAA